rnacentral:rRNA from 1 species
AACAGGAUUAGAUACCCUGGUAGUCCACGCCGUAAACGAUGAGUGCUAGAUAUCGGGAGAAAUUCUUUCGGUUUCGUAGCUAACGCAUUAAGCACUCCGCCUGGGGAGUACGGUCGCAAGAUUAAAACUCAAAGGAAUUGACGAGGGCUCGCACAAGCGGUGGAGCAUGCGGUUUAAUUCGAUGUUACGCGAAAAACCUUACCAACCCUUGACAUGGUGGUCGCGGGAAGCAGAGAUGCAUCCCUUCAGUUCGGCUGGACCACACACAGGUGUUGCAUGGCUGUCGUCAGCUCGUGUCGUGAGAUGUUGGGUUAAGUCCCGCAACGAGCGCAACCCUCAUUCUUAUUUGCCAGCGGGUAAUGCCGGGAACUAUAAGGAAACUGCCGGUGAUAAGCCGGAGGAAGGUGGGGACGAUGUCAAGUCAUCAUGGCCCUUAUGGGUUGGGCUACACGCGUGCUACAAUGGUAUCCACAGAGGGAAGCAAUACGGUGACGUGGAGCAAAUCCCUAAAAGAUAUCUCAGUUCGGAUUGUUCUCUGCAACUCGAGAACAUGAAGUUGGAAUCGCUAGUAAUCGCGGAUCAGCAUGCCGCGGUGAAUACGUUCUCGGGCCUUGUACACACUGCCCGUCACGCCAUGGGAGUUGGUUUUACCUGAAGGUGGUGAGCUAACGUAAGAGGCAGCCAACCACGGUAAAAUUAGCGACUGGGGUGAAGUCGUAACAAGGUAACC